CCAGCAGCCGUUGAAAAAUGGCGACUGUUACGGAACUGAAAGCUGUCCUCUAUUGUAUGGAAUUUUAGCCCAUUUCUUGCGUGGUCCUCCAGAUGGAGCCCAGAAUGUGCUUCUGACAGAGUCAACCCUGCACCCGGCAACCAAGCAUCUCAGCUGGAAGCCCAGCAGAAGACCUGACGAUGACCACGUGAGGAAGGACACAGGGCCAAGAACCACAACUGAAGAGCUUCCUGCUGCUGCACAAGCAGUCAGCAGAUGAUGCGAUGCAUACACCAGGCUCAUCACCUCAGCUGUGUGUGGAGUAACCGACGUAUUAUUCCCAAUGCCAUCAAUUAGACCACCACUGCUUGUAAAUGUUUGAGUGUCUGCAUUCAGCCACUCAUGGUUUACUGCAUCUGUGGAAAGCUGAUCUGUCGUCUCGCUUGCUGGAUGCCACUGGGGAAAAUUUAUUGUUUUCAGGAUGUAUUUUUAAAGUUCUCAUUUGUGAAAUCUGAAAGGGCUUUUUAGUACUUUGUAUAGGGUUUUGUUUUGGGUUUUUUGGCCAGCUCUAAGGGCUGUUGCUAUGCUGCUGGUAAAGCACUUCCCUCCCUAUGCAAGGUCCUGGGUUCAGUCCUAGCACUGAAGAAAGAAAGCACAAGAACAGGUCUUUGUCCAUGUGCUCUGCUCAUUAAACUUUUUUCAGCUAGAAGUAUAUGGACCUAUGGGGAAAGUCAUUCAUGUUUUGAAAAAAUAUCUAAAGGAAUAUUAAAACCAGAACUUAAUUUAUAUGAAGUUUGAUUUUUUAAAAAAUACCUGAAUUAUUAUUGCCUGCCCUGGCUAGUUUUAUAUCAACUUGAUACAAGCUAGAGUCAUUUGGGGAGAGGGACUCUGAAUUGAGAAAAUCCCUCCAUCAGAUUGGCUUAUGGGCAAACCUGUAGUACAUUUUUCUUGAUUCAUGAUUGAUAUGGGAGGGUCCAGCCCACAGUGGGUGGUGUCACCCCUGGGCAGGUGAUCCUGGGUUCAGUAAGAAAGACUGAGCAAGCCAUGGGGAGCAAGCCACUAAGUAGCACUCCUCUGUGGCCU
rnacentral:lncRNA from 1 species